rnacentral:lncRNA from 1 species
AGCCAGGGUGACAGAGUGAGACUCCGUUUAAAAAAAAAAAACAACCCAUUGCACUCCAGCCUGGGUAACAAGAGUGAAACUCUGUCUCAAAAAAAAAAAAAAAAGAGCCAUAUUGUUUGUUUGUUUGUUUGUUUGUUUAUUUAUUUAUUUAUUGAGACAGGAUCUUCCUCUGUUGCCCAGGCUGGAUGGAAGUGGCACCAUCAUAGCUCACUACAGCCUUGACCUUUUGUGCUCAAGCAAUCCUCCCAUCUCAGCCUCCCAAGUAACUGGGACUACAGGUAUGCACGACCAUGCCCAGCUAAUUAAAACAAA